rnacentral:rRNA from 1 species
CAAGCCGCUCCGGGUAAAACUGGAGUCACUAUUCUCAACACUCGAGAAUAUAAAGUAACAGAAUUGUGUCUGGUAAUUGAAUUGCCAAAUCUCGCAGUGAUGCGGGAAGAAAUCCGGCUCAUAACGGUGAAGUCUUAACUGGAGCAUUCGUUCAAGGCGAGUGCGAUGAAGGAAGAUAAUACCGUGGGAAGAUUUGUGGGCUUCAGUGGAUGUACAACGAAGGAGCGUCAAAUGUACUACGUUUUUAUGAUCGGCACUCCGCUCGCCCUGAUUGGGCUGAUCGCGUUGCUGUUGAGUUAGAACGACCGGCAAACCUCAAGCAACAGCUAGAGGUUUGCCAUCCACUGAAGCUCAUAAGUCCCCGUAACGACUUAGCACUCAGAGUGCUGGAGUUGCUUCUGCAUCUUUUCAAAAAGGAGGGCAGAAGCAGCUAAGACGCCGGCUCUCGAUUAAAUAAAUCGAGAUGAAAGUAUAGUCUACGCCCUUAGAAAUAAGGGAACUAACGUGAAGUUCAGACGCGCACGAAUAGUGUAACGACUGGGGAACUGUCUCGGAGCACAGCUCGGUGAAAAUACAAUACCGGUGAAGAUGCCGGUUACCUGCAGAUAGACGAAAAGACCCCAGAAGCUUUACUGUAGCUUGAUAUUGCGCAUACGAUGUGACUGCGUAGCAUAGAUGGGAGAGGUUGAGGUCAUGGUUUCGGCCGUGGCGGACUCGUCAGUGAAAUACCAUUCUUUCUAGUUGUAUGUGCUAACCGGCAGGAUUAAACCUUGUCGAGACAGUAUCUGGUAGGCAGUUUUAGUGGGGCGCUAUCCUCCCAAAAAGUAACGGAGGAGUGUAUUAAGGUCCUCUAGGCGCGAAUGGAAACCGUGCCGAUAGCGCAAUGGCAAAUGAGGGCUUGACUGCAAGUCGUGAAUGACAAGCAGGUGCGAAAGCAGACCAUAGUGAACCGACCAUCCGUAUUAGACGCGGUGGAAGAUUAUCUGACAAAAGCUACUCUGGGGAUAACAGGCUAGUUCCGCCUAAGCGUCCAUAGCGACGGCGGAGUUCGGCACCUCGAUGUCGGCUCACCAUAUCCCGGGGCUGAAGAAGGUCCCAAGGGUUUGGCUGUUCGCCAAUUAAAAUGGUACGCGAGCUGGGUUCAGACCGUAUAUGACGCGAUGCCAAUAUACGAAUGCGUGCGAAUGACGCGAAUUCGAUUCGUAUUAUUUGUGCAAUUCGUGGAUUCGUGUCAUGCACAGUCUGAACCCCACGAGAGAAAAGAAAACUGUUAUAAAACAUGUUCGUCUAAAUGUAAAAGAAAAGAAAGUAGAACCAACCAAUCACGGCGGUCGGCCAGCUCAGCUGGCUGAACAAGCUAACUUAUAUCGGUGGAAUCCUUGCAAGAUACAAGGGCUAUACCGAGGGAACGAGCGAGGUUUGAAUAUUUAAAUAUUUAAAUCUAAUUUGGCCC